AACGAACGCUGGCGGCAUGCCUAACACAUGCAAGUCGAACGAUUGCCUUCGGGUGAUAGUGGCGCACGGGUGCGUAACGCGUGGGAAUCUGCCCUUAGGUUCGGAAUAACAGCUGGAAACGGCUGCUAAUACCGGAUGAUAUCGCGAGAUCAAAGAUUUAUCGCCUGAGGAUGAGCCCGCGUUGGAUUAGGUAGUUGGUGGGGUAAAGGCCUACCAAGCCGACGAUCCAUAGCUGGUCUGAGAGGAUGAUCAGCCACACUGGGACUGAGACACGGCCCAGACUCCUACGGGAGGCAGCAGUGGGGAAUAUUGGACAAUGGGCGCAAGCCUGAUCCAGCAAUGCCGCGUGAGUGAUGAAGGCCCUAGGGUUGUAAAGCUCUUUUACCCGGGAAGAUAAUGACUGUACCGGGAGAAUAAGCCCCGGCUAACUCCGUG
rnacentral:rRNA from 2 species